AGCGAACGCUGGCGGCAGGCCUAACACAUGCAAGUCGAACGAAGCCUUCGGGCUUAGUGGCGGACGGGUGAGUAACACGUGGGAACGUACCUUUUGGUUCGGAACAACUCAGGGAAACUUGAGCUAAUACCGGAUGAGCCCUUAGGGGGAAAGAUUUAUCGCCGAAAGAGCGGCCCGCGUUAGAUUAGCUAGUUGGUGGGGUAAAGGCUCACCAAGGCAACGAUCUAUAGCUGGUCUGAGAGGAUGAUCAGCCACACUGGGACUGAGACACGGCCCAGACUCCUACGGGAGGUAGCAGUGGGGAAUCUUGCGCAAUGGGCGAAAGCCUGACGCAGCCAUGCCGCGUGAAUGAUGAAGGUCUUAGGAUUGUAAAAUUCUUUUACCAGGGACGAUAAUGACGGUACCUGGAGAAAAAGCCCCGGCUAACUUCGUGCCAGCCGCCGCCGUAACAC
rnacentral:rRNA from 1 species